GAUACAGGUGCUCCUACACGGGGUCCAAUGGGGGGAAAUACUGACACACAUUAAUCACACCGUGUCAUAAUGGUUAGUAUUAGAAACUCAAAAGACGAAUGUAGGGGAAAUUCUGUUUGCAGUGUCAGUGAAAUUAUCAUUUGGGAUGUCGUGGGAUGUUUUGGAAUGUUGUUUUCGUAUUAAGAGUAUUCUGGGAUGUGGGGAAUCUUCUUCUCCAUGACAACGCGAAGGAAGCCAGAAAUGCUUUAGCCAGUCAUUGGUGAUGGUUCUGUGAUUAACUCUUGCCUGUGCUUAAUCCAUAGAGGCAAUAUUCUUAAUACACUCUAAAUAAUGUAAAUGAA